rnacentral:rRNA from 1 species
GAUGAACGCUGGCGGCGUGCCUAAUACAUGCCAGUCGAACGAAACUUCUUUAUCACCGAGUGCUUGCACUCACCGAUAAAGAGUUGAGUGGCGAACGGGUGAGUAACACGUGGGCAACCUGCCCAAAAGAGGGGGAUAACACUUGGAAACAGGUGCUAAUACCGCAUAACCAUAGUUACCGCAUGGUAACUAUGUAAAAGGUGGCUAUACUACCGCUUUUGGAUGGGCCCGCGGCGCAUUAGCUAGUUGGUAGGGUAAAGGCUUACCAAGGCAAUGAUGCGUAGCCGAAUUGAGAGGUUGAUCGGCCACAUUGGGACUGAGACACGGCCCAAACUCCUACGGGAGGCAGCAGUAGGGAAUCUUCCACAAUGGGCGAAAGCCUGAUGGAGCAACGCCGCGUGGGUGAAGAAGGUCUUCGGAUCGUAAAACCCUGUUGUUAGAGAAGAAAGUGCAUGAGAGUAACUGUUCACGUUUCGACGGUAUCUAACCAGAAAGCCACGGCUAACUACGUG